GGGGGCGUAGCUCAGUUGGUAGAGCGUUCGCUUUGCAUCUGAAAGGUCCCGGGUUCAAGCCCCGGCGCCUCCA
rnacentral:tRNA from 1 species